UGAGCCAUAACUUGAAAGGGUCAGUCAGGACAUUCGGCUAGUGAAUCUAUCAAUAACCAGACCUGAGCUGGCGUCCCCGAGGCUCCACCUGGUUCCAUUUGUGUUUGUUCUGGACAGCACUUCUCAGGGGCAUAUGAAUGUUGGCAGCUGGCCACUUGGAGGUCAAUGCUCACUGGAACAUUUCACUGUCCCUGUUAAUAUGCAUACCAAAUCAGAAGCCUCCCCUCCUGUCCACUCCAUUGAGCCUCCAUGGCCGCUAUAGGGGAACUUCCAGGACACAUAUAUGACUCUGGUUUUCCUCCCUGGGCAGAGACUUUCUCCCAUACAUUGGAGGAAAUGCCAACCAAUGCAAGAUCGGGAAUCUUUCCCCAACAUUAGGAGAGCUAGCUGGCCCCACAACCAAAGCACUAACAGCCCAACAAUGAUCACUGGACUCUUUGGCUACAGUAAUUUUGGAUAAUGGCACAGCCCUUGAUUAUCUACUGGCUGAACAAGGAGGAGUCUGGACAAGAGUGAAUACCGCCUGCUACACGUGGAUAAAUUCCUCUGGGGAAAUAAAUACCUACCUGCAUAAAAUCAGAGAAUAAGCACUUUGGCUGCAAAGAAUUCUGCCUAAUGACCUAUGAGCCUUAGACCUAUUUAACUAUCGAUUUCAUCUUUUUGAAACUAACAAAUUUCUGGAACAGGAAAAAGAAAGAAAACUCCAACUGGCCUAGACAAAUUCGAGCUCAACCACCAGGGGGACGCCUGCACAGCUGAGCCAUAAAGUGCUGGACAGUUACCUCAACUUCAUUAUAACGUUAGAAUCUCUGCCCUGGGGCAGGAACAUAAGCUUCGUUAACAUAACCUAUGGUGCAUAUAUAGGUAUGUUUUCUAAGUGCACAUGCACAAACCUAUGUUCGCCUUUUAUAUGCAGUGAUGAAACUCCCCCUCUGAAUAUUCAUCUCAAACCCCCAAGUUAAAAGAAUUGGUUCAACCCUUCUCGGAGAGUCAUGGCUUUGGAAGUUAUUCCCCUUGAUCUCCUUAGUUGCUGCAAAUAAAGUUUCCUUUGUGUGACAGCUC